rnacentral:rRNA from 1 species
UGCGUAGGGUGCGAGCGUUAAUCGGAAUUACUGGGCGUAAAGUGUGCGCAGGCGGCAGAGCAAGUCGAGUGUGAAAGCCCCGGGCUUAACUUGGGAAUUGCGCUCGAAACUACUUUGCUGGAGUGUGGCAGAGGAAGGUGGAAUUCCACGUGUAGCGUUGAAAUGCGUAGAGAUGUGGAGGAACACCAAUGGCGAAGGCAGCCUUCUGGGCCAACACUGACGCUCAUGCACGAAAGCGUGGGGAGCAAACAGG